CGUAGCUCCCUCCAUCAGAGACGGCUGCCUUGUCAACACGUAAAUCCUGCCCGGCUUCUGGCAGCCACACGUCCCCGCGGGACCAGACGUACACGGGAGGCUGCAGGGCAGCAGCCUGGCAGCGCAGGGCGUCCUGGCUCCCAGCCCCCCGUGCUCUACCCAUGCCAUGUCUAGCAGCAGAGAUCACCUGACGCCAGGGGCUGGGAUUGGUCAGAGUCACACUCAUCCCUGUAUCCAUCCGCCUGGCAUCUCAGAGCCGCGCCGGGGGCCAGCUGGGACGGGGAUAUUCGCAGCUCAGUCGCUCCAGCCCGGCCCGGGGUUUGCUCUGGGCUCUGCCGCACGCCAUCUCGGUCGUACCAGGAGGUGCAAUAGGGGCAGGCGGCCCCCACAGAGCAGCCCCCUCCCAGCCACAAAAACCUUCGAUCCUGCAAAUCCCGCAAGAGAGACAGAUUCCCCCAUGCUGCUAAAAACCAACCAACCGACCGACAGAAACCGGUGGGUGAAGAUAUGAUCGAUACCAACGGAAUUCAGACCCAAUUUUUACUACUAAAAGAAUAAAACAAAUCUUGCUUGAACCAGGUACAAA